UACGGAGGGUGCAAGCGUUAUCCGGAUUCACUGGGUUUAAAGGGUGCGUAGGUGGGCUUGUAAGUCAGUGGUGAAAUCUCCGUGCUUAACAUGGAAACUGCCAUUGAUACUAUGGGUCUUGAAUUAUCUGGAGGUCAGCGGAAUAUGUCAUGUAGCGGUGAAAUGCUUAGAUAUGACAUAGAACACCAAUUGCGAAGGCAGCUGGCUACAGGUUGAUUGACACUGAGGCACGAAAGCGUGGGGAUCAAACAGG
rnacentral:rRNA from 1 species